rnacentral:rRNA from 1 species
GUUGUAUAGUCAAGUAAUUAAGUGCAUGUGGUGGAUGCCUUGGCAGUCAGAGGCGAUGAAAGACGUGAUAGCCUGCGAAAAGCUCCGGGGAGGCGGCAAAUAUCCUGUGAUCCGGAGAUGUCUGAAUGGGGAAACCCACUUACCAUAAGGUAGGUAUUGCAACAUGAAUACAUAGUGUUGCAAG